rnacentral:rRNA from 1 species
UACGAAGGGGGCUAGCGUUGUUCGGAAUCACUGGGCGUAAAGGGCGCGUAGGCGGCUUUGUAAGUCGGGGGUGAAAGCCUGUGGCUCAACCACAGAAUUGCCUUCGAUACUGCAUGGCUUGAGACCGGAAGAGGUAAGUGGAACUGCGAGUGUAGAGGUGAAAUUCGUAGAUAUUCGCAAGAACACCAGUGGCGAAGGCGGCUUACUGGUCCGGUUCUGACGCUGAGACCCGAAAGCCAGGGUAGCGAACCGG